rnacentral:rRNA from 1 species
CCUACGGGUAGCUGCAGUGAGGAAUAUUGGUCAAUGGACGAGAGUCUGAACCAGCCAAGUAGCGUGAAGGCUGACUGCCCUAUGGGUUGUAAACUUCUUUUAUAUGGGAAUAAAACGUUCCACGUGUGGGAUUUUGUAUGUACCAUAUGAAUAAGGAUCGGCUAACUCCGUGCCAGCAGCCGCGGUAAUACGGAGGAUCCGAGCGUUAUCCGGAUUUAUUGGGUUUAAUGGGAGCGUAGGUGGAUUGUUAAGUAAGUUGUGAAAGUUUGCGGCUCAACCGUCAAAUUGCAGUUGAAACUGGCAGUCUUGAGUACAGUAGAGGUGGGCGGAAUUCGUGGUGUAGCGGUGAAAUGCUUAGAUAUCACGAAGAACUCCGAUUGCGAAGGCAGUUCACUGGACUGCAACUGACACUGAGGCUCGAAAGUGUGGGUAUCAAACAGGAUUAGAUACCCGAGUAGUC